AUCACUUCUUGACCUUUUGGCUAAGAUCAAGUAUAGUAUCUGUCCUUAUCAGUAUAAUAAAUAACUAUAGAAUAUUUACUUUGAAAAUUUGGUAUUGAAUAGGUAACAAUU
rfam:Ictidomys tridecemlineatus contig014563, whole genome shotgun sequence.